rnacentral:lncRNA from 1 species
UGGAGGUCUCUUAAGACAUUUUUAUUUUUUAAAAAAAUUUUAUCUCCUGAAAUUUCUUUUUACUAGCUUUUUUUUUUUUUUUUUUAUGAAGACAUUCUUAUAAAGGUUCAUUAGUGUGUGUGGAAGAGAGACUACAGAAUGGCAUGUGUAGGGAGGCAGGGAGGCCAGGUAGGAAGCUAGAUCAUACUGAGGAAGGGUGGAGGCCAGGGAGCAGAGAUUAGAAAAUCUCUCCCGCUUGGAAGUGGCUGGGCCAGCUGGUGAAUUUGGUUCCACGGCUGAUGAAGGUGUGCAGGCUGUGGCUUCAAGCAUCGUGCCAUAUUCAACAGCAGGAGUCAAGCACCUGGAGCGUCCACAGGUCCUGGUGCUGCUGGUACCAUUUGGAUUCUCAUGGCACGUCUACCCAUUAGACAGGCCCUCUCUGUACCGAUGAUGACAUACAUUAAUUCACAUAUGGAAUUCAAUAAGUGACCAAGCCAGAGCAUGACGCAUCUUUUGGAAAUUAUGCCUCGAUGCAUGACGUGGCCAUCACUUUGUUCAGCCUCAGUAGGUAUUUGUUACACAAAUCUCUUGUCAAUUAGAGGUUAUAAGCUUGACCAUAGCGUUUUUCACUCAUCAUUUCACGUUGCCAAGGUAUUACUAGCACGUCUUGCUGGGUGGGGUGGCUCAUGCUUGUAAUCCCAGCCCUUUGGAAGGCUGUGGCAGGUGUACUGCUUGAGGCCAGGAGUUUGAGACCAGCCUGGGCAACACAGUGAGACCCCCAUCUCUACAAAAAAUAAUUAAAAAAAAAUCAGCUAGGCGUGGUGGUGUGCACCUGUAGUCCUAGCUACUCAGGAACCUGAGGCAAGAGGAUCACUUGAACCCACAAGUUCGAGGUUAAAGUAAACUACGAUUGCACCAUUGCACUCCAGCCUGGGUGACAGAGUGAGACCCUGUCUCUAAAUACUACUACUACUACUAACAAUAAUAAGCAUGUCUUGUAUUUUGAUUGCCCUAAAUUUU